ACGCUGGCGGCGUGCCUAAUACAUGCAAGUAGAACGCUGAAGGAGGAGCUUGCUUCUCUGGAUGAGUUGCGAACGGGUGAGUAACGCGUAGGUAACCUGCCUGGUAGCGGGGGAUAACUAUUGGAAACGAUAGCUAAUACCGCAUAACAGUAGAUGUUGCAUGACAUUUGCUUAAAAGGUGCAAUUGCAUCACUACCAGACGGACCUGCGUUGUAUUAGCUAGUUGGUGGGGUAACGGCUCACCAAGGCGACGAUACAUAGCCGACCUGAGAGGGUGAUCGGCCACACUGGGACUGAGACACGGCCCAGACUCCUACAGGAGGCAGCAGUAGGGAAUCUUCGGCAAUGGACGGAAGUCUGACCGAGCAACGCCGCGUGAGUGAAGAAGGUUUUCGGAUCGUAAAGCUCUGUUGUAAGAGAAGAACAGGUGUGAGAGUGGAAAGUUCACACUGUGACGGUAUCUUACCAGAAAGGGACGGCUAACUACGUGCCAGCAGCCGCGGUAAUACGUAGGUCCCGAGCGUUGUCCGGAUUUAUUGGGCGUAAAGCGAGCGCAGGCGGUUAGAUAAGUCUGAAGUUAAAGGCUGUGGCUUAACCAUAGUACGCUUUGGAAACUGUUUAACUUGAGUGCAAGAGGGGAGAGUGGAAUUCCAUGUGUAGCGGUGAAAUGCGUAGAUAUAUGGAGGAACACCGGUGGCGAAAGCGGCUCUCUGGCUUGUAACUGACGCUGAGGCUCGAAAGCGUGGGGAGCAAACAGGAUUAGAUACCCCUGGUAGUCCACGCCGUAAACGAUGAGUGCUAGGUGUUAGACCCUUUCCGGGGUUUAGUGCCGCAGCUAACGCAUUAAGCACUCCGCCUGGGGAGUACGACCGCAAGGUUGAAACUCAAAGGAAUUGACG
rnacentral:rRNA from 1 species